rnacentral:rRNA from 1 species
UUACACACCGCCCGUCACACCAUGGGAGUCGAUUGUCUCCAGAAGUGGGUGAGCCAACCGCAAGGAGGCAGCCCCCAAGGAGUGGUUGGUAACUGGGGUG